UACGGAGGGGGCAAGCGUUAAUCGGAAUUACUGGGCGUAAAGCGUGCGCAGGCGGUUUUGUAAGCCAGAUGUGAAAUCCCCGGGCUUAACCUGGGAAUGGCAUUUGGGACUGCAAGGCUGGAGUGUGGCAGAGGAGACUGGAAUUCCUGGUGUAGCAGUGAAAUGCGUAGAUAUCAGGAGGAAUACCGAUGGCGAAGGCAGGUCUCUGGGCUGACACUGACGCUCAUGCACGAAAGCGUGGGGAGCAAACAGG
rnacentral:rRNA from 1 species